rnacentral:rRNA from 1 species
GUGAGUAACACGUGAGUAACCUGCCCUCAGGAAGGGGAUAACCCGGGGAAACUCGGGCUAAUACCCUAUAAUGUCUGGAGUCACUGAGGCUCCAGACCAAAGGUGGCCUCUGCUCUGCAUGCUACCGCCUGAGGAGGGGCUCGCGGCCCAUCAGGUAGUUGGUGGGGUAACGGCCUACCAAGCCUAUGACGGGUAGCCGGCCUGAGAGGGUGUCCGGCCACAGUGGGACUGAGACACGGCCCACACCCCUACGGGGGGCAGCAGUGGGGAAUCGUGGGCAAUGGGCGAAAGCCUGACCCCGCGACGCCGCGUGGAGGAAGAAGCCCUUCGGGGUGUAAACUCCUGAACCGGGGACGAAAGCCCCGAUGAGGGGGAUGACGGUACCCAGGUAAUAGCGCCGGCCAACUCCGUGCCAGCAGCCGCGGUAAUACGGAGGGCGCGAGCGUUACCCGGAUUUACUGGGCGUAAAGGGCGUGUAGGCGGCUUG